GAGCGCCGCCAUGCUUUUGUACGGCAGGAUCGCAAAGCACGCCGGGACCGGUUGGUUUGGUUUUGAAGACGUGGAUGGCGGGAAUUCUCGCUCCUGGCCUGGCAAGGACAUUGAGGUCCCUAUCACCGCUUGCCUAGACAACUUCAUGGGAAGGCCCUUGGGAAUCUGAGAUGGAGCAGGCGAACCCUUUACGUCCAGAUGGCGAGUCCAAAGGAGGUGUUUUAGCUCACUUGGAAAGGCUAGAGACCCAAGUGAGCAGAUCCCGUAAACAGUCUGAAGAGCUGCAGAGUGUGCAGGCCCAGGAAGGUGCUCUUGGAACCAAGAUUCAUAAACUAAGGCGUUUGCGAGAUGAGCUGAGGGCUGCGGUGCGGCACCGGCGAGCCAGCGUGAAAGCAUGUAUUGCCAAUGUAGAACCCAACCAAACAGUGGAGAUCAAUGAGCAGGAAGCACUGGAAGAGAAAUUGGGAAAUGUGAAAGCCAUUCUGCAGGCAUAUCAUUUUACAGGCCUCAGUGGUAAACUGACCAGCCGAGGAGUUUGCGUCUGCAUCAAUACUGCUUUUGAGGGGAACCUAUUGGAUUCCUAUUUUGUGGACCUUGUCAUACAGAAACCACUCCGGAUACAUCACCAUUCAGUCCCAGUCUUCAUUCCUCUGGAAGAGAUAGCUGCAAAAUAUUUACAGACCAACAUCCAGCACUUCCUGUUCAGUCUCUGCGAGUACCUGAAUGCUUACUCUGGGAGGAAGUACCAGGCAGACCGGCUUCAGGUAUCUCUUUGGGAUGUUAUAUGCCUCAUCUGUGGGCCCAAGAUCAACUUAAAAGGGGAAAAGGGGGAUGUUUUUUGUACUUUCAGUGUUUCCUAACUCUGAGUUAGAAGUUUGACCAUUACCUUUCCGAUGCUUGUUUCUUAUUUAUAUAAAAGCACUAUCCCACCCUCUUUUCUUUUGAAACUCUGGAUGGCAUUGAAGCUUGGGUACUGGUUAAAGGAUUAUGCACCCCUGAAUGGUGGUCUUCAAGCUUUUAUCGUAAGAUUGUACAGAGUGCAGUUGCUAUACCUUUGAUCCAUCAAGGAUUUAUGGCGUGCCUACUACGUACUAUACUGAGUGCCUUGCUGAACCUUGGGUAUAGAUCUCAUCAGAGAAGAAGGGUUUCUGCAUUGCCAUGGAAGAAUGCUGUCCAUCUUCCCCUAAACUCUAGCCUACCUUUUUGGGUUGCAGUUGAGCUAAGGUUGGGUGAAAAAAGUAGAUAGGAAAUUAAUGCAAAUAGGUUGUAAGUGCCUCCUACAAGCUUAGCAUUUCCCCCUCUAUGGAUUUGGAGUAACUCUGAAGCUCUCAGUUAUAGGUUUAACUUAAAUUGAAAUGUGGAUGCAGUCAUGAAGCAUCUUAGCCGUGUAACGUCAGUGAUGAUUUUGCAGAAACAGUCUUUUGCGAAGCUGUACCCCUGGCCAUUUAGGCCUGUAGGCCUUUCCAGGCUGCCACUGACUCUCAGUUACCUUACACAUCUUUUUCAUUAGUCCUUUUUUCAGACCUUUUUCUAUCCCUCAUUUAUUUCUUUGAAAUGUAAUUGAUGGGCCUCUUUUUGGUUGACAUA
rnacentral:sRNA from 1 species